GCUCUGCCAGCCUGGGAGUCAUCUUCACCCUCAGGCUGGUAGACUCCAGUCUCUUAGGUCAGAAUGGGAUUAGAGACCCGUUCCUGAACCAGUCACACACAGCGGGUGAAACUGCUAUGAUUGGUUUAGACUUAGAGACUGGAAUGGAUGCUGGCCUAGAAGCGAAGACACAUAGAAGCAAUGUGUACCUAGACUGUUGUCCUAAAUGCCAUUUCCUACCAGGAAGGAACCAGAGUCUUUGCAGAAAUGUAUCAUUUCACAUCUGGGUAAGGAAAUGUCUGAGAAGGAUCAGAUAUAUUGUGGGUCAGAAAGCAACGGAGCUGUCAAAGUGAACUCAUGCAACGGUAUCAAAAGGAUUCAAAAGAAUUCAGUUGAUAAAAGUCGGUAUAGACCCAUUUCUUCCCACUCUUCCCUGCUAAGUAUAACUGUAACCCCUGAAAAUUACUCAAGAGACAACCAAAGGAGAACUCUAAACACUAGUGGAAGAAGAUUAACUGAUUUGGGACCCUAAGAACAACAUAGUGGCAGGGUGACACUCAUGCCUCCUUUCAAAAGAACAAGGACACCUAGACCCAGUAUUUUCCUACCUCAGCAGAGCAACAGAUGGAAGCCCACGUAGGCUCAUUGCUCUCCUGGAUCCAUCAGCAGCCCCUCUGCAUCAGGCGAGCCCAACACUACCUUUGAGGAGGAAUCAAUUUGGAGACCUAUCAAUAAGCAGUGAGGGGAAUCACUCUCCUUCCUCAAGCAGCACCAGCAAGAACCAGUGGGAGCCCGAGAAACACCAGACAUGUUAAGUAGUCCAAUGUAACACCACAAAGUCUCUGAAAAUUAAACUGCCAUUGGAACCAUAGCCUAAAAAAGUUGGCCAAGACUUACGUAUGUGAUAAAUCUAAACAGGGUGACUGCCACUUAAAAUAAAAGAUUUAAAGAGGACCCCAGAGUCUCUUAACAUACUAGACAAAAUGUUGAGGAUACAGUAGAAAAUUACCCAUCACACCAAGAACCAAGGAAAUGACAACUCGAAUGAGAAAGAAAAUCACCUGACACUGCACUAAGUUCAAUGUUGGAAUUAUCUGACAAGGAUUUUAAAUUAUAUUUGAUCAUUGAAACAAAAAUUAUAACACAAUACUUAAGUCCCCAGAUAGCAGAUGACUGGUAGGAAGAUGAGGCAAGUUUGCGGUCCAUUGUCAUGGAUAGUGGAGACAACACUGGGCCAGAAGUGGUAAGACCUGAAUCCAAGACUCAGCUCUGCCACUUGCUAAAUGGGACUUUGAAUAAACCAUUUCUCUGCACUUAAGUUCCUUACCAACAAAACGAGGGAAGUGGCCUACAUGCCUAGAUAUCAACAUUUCAUGUCACGUAGAGAUCUAGCAUCACAAGAAUCCAAGUCAUCCUCUGUUGCCUUUAAGAAAUUAGAAUUAAAGGAAUCAGAAUUGAAGUGAAUCUGACUACACUAAGCCUAUCACUUGUGACAGCCAUGGGAAGAUAUCAUUGGUUGCUGAGGAGCAGAAAUAAGCAGAGACCUAUUGUGUUAGGUUAUCAUUCAUUUCAGACAAAAAGCAGAUCAGCAAGUUUUCAUAUUGCACUAUUUUCAAUGGCUGGAGCAUCAACAUUUUACAACAAGAAAAAAAUUAAAAUUCUUCAACAUUUGGAAAAGAAGUGUUUGUAAAACUUUUCACAUCCAUUCACCAUCCGGAAAAGCAAGGUUUUACAGUGAGGCCUGAUGAUGUCUAGAGUCACCAUGCAUCUUGGAAAAUGACCUCCUAUUUAUUUCUUCUACAGGACACCAUGGUGUUCACCUUUCUACAACUUUACACUUGCUGAGGACAUAUUGUGGAAAAUUAAGAGAAAUAUAUAUGGAUGGCCAAGGCUGUAGAUGGAUGUCCAAGCCUUUUUACUGGGGAAUGUUUUCAGAACAAAAUGAGUUACAGGUUCAAGAGUGAAACCCAACAAA
ensembl:lncRNA LINC02207 long intergenic non-protein coding RNA 2207